rnacentral:rRNA from 1 species
UCCUAUUCAUACCCGAGUAGUUGUCCUUGGUAGUGGGCAAUGAAUAUGGGUGAAAGUAGCAUCCGAGGCUAAAUAUUUCUCAAGACCGAUAGUGGACUAGUACCGUGAGGGAAAGCUGAAAAGUACCCCGGAAGGGGGGCGAAAAGUGCAUGAAACCUAUUACUUACAGACGUGCGUGGCAUGAAAGGUGAUUUUUUCAGAUUAGAGAUUCUAGCAAUAGAGUUGAAGAUUUGAUGUUCAAAUCAUCAGUGUCGCGCGUUCCGUCUCGAAACACGGGCCAAGGAGCUAACCGUCAUGGCAAGCUUAAACCUGCAAAGGUGCAGGCGAAGGGAAACCGAGCUCUCGCAGCUUCGUAAGAAGUCAGGAGAGGCGUGUGAAAGUGCGUAGAGUCAUGGCGGCUAGGCUAGAAGCCAGUCGAUCUAUUCCUGAGCUAGAUGAAGGGGGGCGAAAGCCCCCUGGAGGUCUUAAGACGUUCUGACGUGCAAAUCGUUGUUGUGACUUGGGAAUAGGGGUCAAAAACCAAUCUAGACUGGCGCUCGCUAGUUCCAACCGAAGCGUCUCGCAGGGCGUGGUUUGUGGAGAUAGCGUUUCCGGUAGAGCACUGAUAGAAGGGCGCGGGGGAGAAAUCCCUCACCCUCCAUUCAAACUCCGAACGGAUACGCAUCGUAGAAGCAGGCACACGGGCUCAUGUGGCGUAAGGCUCAUGGCCGAAAGGGGUUUAACCCAGACUGAAGUUAAGGUCCCCAAAUUUUUGCUAAGUGUCAAGCGAAAGAGCGUGUUCUCGCCAAGACAGCAGGGAGGUAAGCUCAGAAGCAGCUAUCCUUUAAAAAAUGUGUAACAACUUACCUGCCGAGGGGGGAUGCCUCAAAAACGGACGGGGCUAAAGCAAAAUACCGAUACUUUAGAUAAUUAUCAUUAGAUAAUUCGUGGUAGGUUGGCGUAGUGAUUGGGUCGAAGCAGGGCGAUGACGUCCUGUGGACCGAUUUCUAUUGCAGAUCUUGGCGGCAGUAACAGCAUAGUAUUGUGAGAAACAAUACCACCGCAAGCGCAAGGGUUUCCAGGCAAUGCGUUAUCAGCCUGGAGGUAGUCGAUCCUAAGAUGUGCCUCAACAGAGUACAUCGAAUGGGAAAUCAGUUAAUAUUCUGAUACCUUGUAACAAUCGUUUGACCUAUAUGAUUCGCUUCCGGAUAAGGAGUGUACAACUAUCGUUGUAUCCAAGCAUUCGAGGAUUGGGGAGUGUCGUAAUGACGAGAACCUUUCCGAGGUGUAAGUGGCUUCGCGUUAGCGAAGUUUUCUUGAUUCCAGGAGACCAUGAAAGAUUGUGUAGUUAGAAAGUAACAAGUUCGUACCCAGAACCGACACAGGUGCGCUGGCUUAGAAAGCUAAGGUGCUACGGGUAUACCGUAUGGCGAGGGAAUUCGGCAAAUUAGUCCUGUAGCUUAGGUAUAAGGGAUGCCUGCGGGCUUCAUGAGGAAUGGGGUCCGCAGGUUGCAAUAACAAGGGGGUUCCGACUGUUUAAUAAAAACACAGGCGACUGCUAGUCCGAAAGGAUUUGUAUAGUCGCUGAAUCCUGGCCGGUGCCGGUACCUAAAACUUGGGUUCAACCGAGCUAAGGGCCGGUUAACGCCGGGAGUAACUCUGACUCUCUUAAGGUAGCCAAAUGCCUUGUCGGGUAAGUUCCGACGCGCAUGAAUGGAACAACGAGAGCCCCACUGUCCCCGCCUACAACCCGGUGAAGCCACAUAAGGUGGACGAACAGUCCAUCAACUUCCAUCGGGGAGAGAAGACCCCGUGGAGUUUUACUGCAGCUUGUGCUUGUGGUAUAGUAAGAAUUGCACAGUGUAUCUGGGAGCUAUGCUUAACAUUCCCCGGGAUGUUAAUGAAGCAACGAUGUAACACCAGACUCUUUUUGCAGUACCACUUAUCCAGUGAAGACCGGAGACACGUGCAGGUAGGCAGUUCGGCUGGGGCGGCACCCCUUUGAAAAGAUAUCAAAGGGGCCCAAAGUUGAGUUCAAACGGGGCAGAAAUCCGUUGAAGAGGGCAAAGCCAAAAACUCGACUGAAUGGAUUUCCAAACGCACGGAAUUCAUAGACGAAAGUCUGGCUUAGCGAUCCUUCGUGUGCCCACUAUU